rnacentral:rRNA from 1 species
CCUACGGGCCGCACCAGUGGGGAAUAUUGCACAAUGGGCGCAAGCCUGAUGCAGCCAUGCCGCGUGUGAAGAAGGCCUUCGGGUUGUAAAGCACUUUCAGCGGGGAGGAAGGCGUUAAGGUUAAUAACCUUGGCGAUUGACGUUACCCGCAGAAAAAGCACCGGCUAACUCCGUGCCAGCAGCCGCGGUAAUACGGAGGGUGCAAGCGUUAAUCGGAAUUACUGGGCGUAAAGCGCACGCAGGCGGUCUGUCAAGUCGGAUGUGAAAUCCCCGGGCUCAACCUGGGAACUGCAUUCGAAACUGGCAGGCUAGAGUCUUGUAGAGGGGGGUAGAAUUCCAGGUGUAGCGGUGAAAUGCGUAGAGAUCUGGAGGAGUACCGGUGGCGAAGGCGGCCCCCUGGACAAAGACUGACGCUCAGGUGCGAAAGCGUGGGGAGCAAACAGGAUUAGAUACCCGAGUAGUC